rfam:Aedes albopictus isolate Foshan contig17210, whole genome shotgun sequence.
UGUUGUGUGGCUUAAUUGGUUAAAGCGCUGGACUUGCGAUUCAGAGUCGUGUGUUUGAAUCCCACCAAAACAA